UACGUAGGGGGCGAGCGUUGUCCGGAUUCAUUGGGCGUAAAGAGCUCGUAGGCGGUUCAGUAAGUCGGAUGUGAAAUCUCCAGGCUCAACCUGGAGGGGUCAUUCGAUACUGCCGUGACUAGAGUUCGGUAGGGGAGUGUGGAAUUCCUGGUGGAGCGGUGAAAUGCGCAGAUAUCAGGAGGAACACCCGUAGCGAAGGCGGCACUCUGGGCCGAUACUGACACUGAGGAGCGAAAGCGUGGGGAGCGAACAGG
rnacentral:rRNA from 1 species